rnacentral:rRNA from 1 species
UACGAGGGGGGCGAGCGUUGUUCGGAAUUAUUGGGCGUAAAGGGCGCGUAGGCGGUGCGGUAAGUCACCUGUGAAACCUCUGGGCUUAACUCAGAGCCUGCAGGCGAAACUGCCGUGCUGGAGUGUGGGAGAGGUGCGUGGAAUUCCCGGUGUAGCGGUGAAAUGCGUAGAGAUCGGGAGGAACACCAGAGGCGAAGGCGGCGACCUGGACAGGUACUGACACUCAACUACGAAAGCGUGGGGAGCAAACAGG